CCACUGUCAAGCUGGGGUACUUUUUGUUUAGAAAGGUUGCCUCUGUUUGGUUUAUUGGGCUCUGCCGUGUCCUGCACUUGGGGAAAUGGGCUAGCCUUAAAAGCAUUAGCAAACUUUGAUAAUCUACUCGGCGUAUUAAUGAUACAUGAACCGCAGAGGACACUGUUAUCGGUUGCUUUCUAAUCUGGCAUUCGUGGUUCCUUAGGAAUCCGUCAGCCAUCUUCAG
rnacentral:misc_RNA from 1 species